CAGUCCACAGCCGCCAUCUCUACAUCUGUGGUGUUGUUCAUGUGGAUGGCACCAAAGAAGUCUGUGGCUCUGAAGCCUGAAGGCAGAAACAUGUCUCUCAGGAAAUGCUCCCCAUCUGUCUCCACCUGGAAAGAGGAAGUGCACCUGGUGCCUCCCAUAUCCAGUACCUGAAAGCUGUUGUACUUGUACACGGAGCCUCCGGUGUGCGUGGGCACGUCAGCCAUGGUUGCCAAGU